UGGCUUGGUAGCUCAGUUGGUAGAGCAGAGGGCUGAAAAUCCUCGUGUCAGUGGUUCGAAUCCACUCCGAGCCAUAUU
rnacentral:tRNA from 1 species